AUUUGGUGCUUGCACCAAAUGAAACUAGAUACAAGCGAGCGGCGGACGGGUGAGUAACACGUGGGUAACCUGCCCAAGAGACUGGGAUAACACCUGGAAACAGAUGCUAAUACCGGAUAACAACACUAGACGCAUGUCUAGAGUUUAAAAGAUGGUUCUGCUACCACUCUUGGAUGGACCUGCGGUGCAUUAGCUAGUUGGUAAGGUAACGGCUUAUCAAGGCAAUGAUGCAUAGCCGAGUUGAGAGACUGAUCGGCCACAUUGGGACUGAGACACGGCCCAAACUCCUACGGGAGGCAGCAGUAGGGAAUCUUCCACAAUGGACGCAAGUCUGAUGGAGCAACGCCGCGUGAGUGAAGAAGGGUUUCGGCUCGUAAAGCUCUGUUGGUAGUGAAGAAAGAUAGAGGUAGUAACUGGCCUUUAUUUGACGGUAAUUACUUAGAAAGUCACGGCUAACUACGUGCCAGCAGCCGCGGUAAUACGUAGGUGGCAAGCGUUGUCCGGAUUUAUUGGGCGUAAAGCGAGUGCAGGCGGUUCAAUAAGUCUGAUGUGAAAGCCUUCGGCUCAACCGGAGAAUUGCAUCAGAAACUGUUGAACUUGAGUGCAGAAGAGGAGAGUGGAACUCCAUGUGUAGCGGUGGAAUGCGUAGAUAUAUGGAAGAACACCAGUGGCGAAGGCGGCUCUCUGGUCUGCAA
rnacentral:rRNA from 1 species